AGCCUCGUUCUAGAUGAAAAUGGGCUCAUGGUGUCCAGAAAUUGUGAAUGUGGCUACACUGAGACGGGAGGCGGUUCCAUCACAGCAAGAUGACCGCAGGGGUGACCACGAGGCCCUAACAUCC